CCAGUUAAUCUCAAUCAAACUGCAGUUGGAUUAUUUUGACUAGGUUAAAAAAAAAUGAUAAAAAAUACAGCUAACUACACAAUAAAACACAAUAAAAACAUGAUAACAGUAAAAAACAAACAAACAAAAAAAAAAAAACAUGAUUUUAGAUAAAAUUUAAAAACCGGAGUUAUCUGUUUUAGCAAAUAAACUCUCCAUAUUUAUGAACAUGUUAUGUGUGUCUAGGUGGAAGAUCUGAGUCUCUCUCUCGUGUCAGUCAACAGCAGAACAGCAGACAGACAUCAGAGCAGAACCAGAGUGAAGCCGGAAAUAAAACACUCAUGUCUGAAACUGCUCAUAUUUAUGACUCUGCUGAUGCAACAAAUAAUAAAGACAUAAGCACAGACAUUGUAAGUGGACCGACUGAAGUCACCUAUGCUGAGAUUGAACUCAAACCUACAGAGAAACAGAAG
ensembl:lncRNA